rnacentral:rRNA from 1 species
CAGGUACCCAAUCCUGUCGUGUCGAAGCUAACGCGAUAAACAAUCCGCCUGGAGAGUACGGUCGUCAAGGCUGAAACUCAAAGGAAU